CAGAGUUCAUGCCCUUCGGGGUAGAUCUCCCACCCUAUGUAUUUAUACCUUUGUUGCUUUGGUGGGCCGCGAGGCUUCGGCCUGGCUACCGGCUCCGGCUGGUAAGUGCCCACCAGAGGAAAUCAAACUCUGAAUGUUAGUGUCGUCUGAGUACUAUAUAAUAGUUA
rnacentral:misc_RNA from 1 species